UCCACUUUGUAGCAAGUAAAAUUAUUUUUGAGUUGUCAGAAUAAAUAAAUAUAGCAGUUUGAGUGAUCUCUCCCAACUAGAAUCUAACCUGAAGAAAUUUAACCUAAGACAAAAGAAAACAUAUUUUUUGGCACGUAUAAUAGGAAAGAAUUACCUAAUACACAUAAAAUACGGCCUUACUCAGCCAGUUUAAGUAGGAUGAAUACGUGUGAUACGAAGGGCAUUUGGUGAGUGAGAAUCUGAAGUUGUGGGGAAGUAUCUUGAGAAGAGUGAGAGUAGGGACAGCCAGAACAGGAAGCCAGUCUAACUGCACUCUGAUGACACUGGCUUAUGAUGAACUGGAUUGAUUGCACAGCAGAUAGAAACUACUAUGUAACUGCCCAGGGUGAAGCAAGGAUUCAUCUCACAUUGAGGAAAUCUAUUUCCACCCAUGGCUCUCAGAAGCUGGUCUUCUGCUUGCUGUUGAGCCCAGAAGAUACCUUCAAAUUUUCAGGAAAGAAGAGAUGACUGGGAAAGUUUCCAGAAUGGUGGUUUUUGUAACAUCUGUAGCCUCAGAACUUAAGAAGAGCAAGCAUAAAAUGUGUUUUUGCAAAUGUUUUUCAUGGAUUUAAGACCUAAGCUGUUUAACAGAUUGUCUUGCUUAAGAAAUAUGACUUGUUUUAGCUGACAAGAUGGAUUUUAUGAACUGAUUGAUCCCAGCUGCCAAUUGUCAAAGCCAGAGGAUGUUCCAAAUUGGCAGUCCCCAAAGACCUGGAGUGGAUUGAUUUAAGGUGGGGAAAGGAAGAUUUGGAGGUGGAGAAAAUAGAGUUUUAUAAAACUAAUAUGAUUCUGAAAGUAUUUGAAACACAAAUAUCCAUUAGAACACACAAAAAGUUAAAAUAGUUCAAGCUUCAUUCUACUUUGUGAGCUGUUCUAAUACCUUCUAAGGCUGUAGGUGCCCUCUUCACCUUUUGUUUGCUUCUCAUUGGACUUUUAAUAGUAAAUAGCACAAAGGAUAGAGAUAUAUAUCCAAGAUUUUAUGUAUGUAUAAAAUCUUCACAGCUUCAAAGUUUGAAUUAUGUACUUUCUGAAGAAGGAACUGUUUCGAGUUCAUGAAAUUAUUCUCUGUAUUUUGACAAAUUACAAGCAUCUACAUUUUAAGAAAGACAUGGUGAGGCCUUUUGCUUGGAUAGAUUCUUGAGAUGGUAAAUGAGGCAGCUGUUUGAAAUUCAAUUUUUAAAUUUUAUUCUGAUAUCUAAGUCCAUCUUUGAGCACAUUAUUGAUAUUAACAAUGCUAAUAAUGCUGUUAAUAAUACCACCUAUUGGCUAUGCAACUUUAGCUCUUUGUGCCUUACAUCCCAUGUUGGUACUUACCUCAUGGACUUGUAAAGAUAAAAUGAGUUAACCCAGGCAAAGUGCUUAGAAUAAUGCUUGUUUCAUAAUUAAUGCUUUAAAAGUGUUAUUACAAUGACAAAUCAUAACAGUGUGGGGGUAAUGCUAUAAAUAUUGCUGAUCAAGUACCUAAUAAGCUUCUCCAUUAGCUGCUAAGGUGUAGGUUAGCCAAAAACAUCAUUUGCUGUUGUUCAGAGGUUCACAUGCCUAGUCUUUUAAACAAUGUUUAGGAGAGAUCAUCUAUGAUGGGUCAAAUUGUAUGAUGAGAUUACAAAUGUAUAGUUUAUGCGUAUUGAUAUUUCCACUUGCAAGUGGGUUUUGUAGUUGAAGUUGCCAUGAUACUGGGUUUCAUUCAGGCACUGAAUUUAUGAGAUGAAACUCUCAUGAUAGCAUAAGCUUCCAAAGCACCAAUUAGGCAACUAAUUAUUUGGAUUGGUGAUAUCUUUUUUAUUUGCCUUCUUAUUGCUUAAAGGUAGUGACCAUCUCUCUUAAUUAAUUUACAUGGCCUCAUUGGAAGAAGAGUCAAGUAAAAACUUUUGACAAUGAACUAGGUUAACAAUGAGGGGCAUUGUCAGCACUGCUAAGCUAGAUACUGUAAGUUCUAAAGGGAAAAUACAAAAUGACAGCUGACUCUCCGUCUUCUUUCACUUUCCUCAAAGAAAAGUUUCAGUGAAGGGAAAAUCUUAUGAAAUAUAUUGGACAAUAAAUAUUUUAAGGAACCAAGGCAUCUGGAGACCCACUUCCCAGAAGAAAGAAAGUAUCUUGUAUUAAGUGAGAUGUAUCAUUAUGUGAGUCAAUUAAUAAAAUAAAUUAAUUAUGGACUAUUAAAA
rnacentral:lncRNA from 1 species